CAGCAGCCGCGGUAAUACGGAGGGUGCAAGCGUUAAUCGGAAUUACUGGGCGUAAAGCGCACGCAGGCGGUCUGACAAGUCAGAUGUGAAAUCCCCGGGCUUAACCUGGGAACUGCAUUUGAAACUGUCAGGCUGGAGUCUUGUAGAGGGGGGUGGAAUUCCAGGUGUAGCGGUGAAAUGCGUAGAGAUCUGGAGGAAUACCGGUGGCGAAGGCGGCCCCCUGGACAAAGACUGACGCUCAGGUGCGAAAGCGUGGGGAGCAAACAGGAUUAGAUACCCCCGUAGUCCUGUCUCUUAUACA
rnacentral:rRNA from 1 species